rnacentral:tRNA from 1 species
GUUCUCAUAGUGUAGCGGUUAUCACGUCGGCCUCACACGCAGAAGGUCCUCAGUUCGAUCCUGGGUGAGAACA